rnacentral:tRNA from 1 species
GAGGGUAUAGCUCAAGUGGUAGAGCGCAUGCUUAGCAUGCAGGAGGUCCUGGGUUCAUUCCCCAGUACCUCCU